rnacentral:rRNA from 1 species
UACGGAGUGUGCGAGCGUUACUCGGAAUCACUGGGCAUAAAGAGCACGUAGGCGGGGAUGCAUGUCCGUGGUGAAAUCCCCCAGCUCAACUGGGGAACUGCUUCGGAAACUGUGUCUCUUGAGGACGAGAGGGGAGAGUGGAACUUCUGGUGGAGCGGUGAAAUGCGUAGAUAUCAGAAGGAACACCGGUGGCGAAAGCGACUCUCUGGCUCGUUUCUGACGCUGAGGUGCGAAAGCUUGGGUAGCAAACAGG